CACGAUACGGCAAGGACUCAAAUGUUGGGCUAAACUAUGCGGAUGCAACUCAGAGAUUGCAAGGUACUAUCGAUAGCCGUGCUGAUUUUUUUAGAAUACAAAAACAUCAGAAACCAUUAUGUACCGUAAGAAAGAAUGUAUCCUCAUCUCAAGGUAGUUACUUUCAUUUAAAAUAAACCAUUGAUAUUACCA